rnacentral:rRNA from 1 species
GGGCUUCACACGUCAUACAAUGGUCGGGACAGAGGGUCGCCAACCCGCGAGGGGGAGCUAAUCCCAGAAACCCGAUCGUAGUCCGGAUCGCAGUCUGCAACUCGACUGCGUGAAGUCGGAAUCGCUAGUAAUCGCGGAUCAGCAUGUCGCGGUGAAUA